rnacentral:rRNA from 1 species
UACGGAGGAUGCGAGCGUUAUCCGGAUUUAUUGGGUUUAAAGGGUGCGCAGGCGGAAUGUCAAGUCAGCGGUAAAAUUUCGGGGCUCAACCCCGUCGUGCCGUUGAAACUGACGCCCUUGAGUGAGUGAGAAGUAAGCGGAAUGCGUGGUGUAGCGGUGAAAUGCAUAGAUAUCACGCAGAACGCCGAUUGCGAAGGCAGCUUACCAAUCUAUAUCUGACGUUGAGGCACGAAAGCGUGGGUAUCGAACAGG